rnacentral:piRNA from 1 species
UACGGAGAAACAAUUUAAAAA